rnacentral:ncRNA from 1 species
AUAAUGAUACUUCAAUAGUUUAUGCCGGCUCGUCUUGAACAAGGGGCGGUGGUGAGAAUCCAAUGU